rnacentral:tRNA from 1 species
ACAAAGAAGUAAAAUAUUACAUUUAGUUUCGACCUAAAAAUAGAACUAGCAUUCCAUGUU